AAGCACAAGCCUUCACCAACUCCAUACUACUACAAAUCACCUCCACCUCCCUCACCGGUUUACAAGUACAAAUCGCCACCUCCACCGGUCCAUUACUAUUCACCUCCAUAUUACUACAAGUCACCUCCACCUCCCUCACCAGUUUACAAGUACAAUUCCCCACCUCCACCAGUCCACCAUUAUGAUCCUCCAUAUUACUACAAGUCACCUCCACCUCCCUCACCAGUUUACAAGUACAACUCCCCACCUCCACCAGUCCACCAUUACGAUCCUCCAUAUUACUACAAGUCACCUCCACCUCCCUCACCGGUUUACAAGUACAACUCCCCACCUCCACCAGUCCAUUAUUAUUCACCUCCAUAUUACUACAAAUCACCCCCUACUCCUGUGAAAUCGCCACCACCUCCAUACUACUAUAAAUCACCGCCUCCUCCCUCACCAGUUUAUAAGUAUAGCUCACCACCUCCACCAGUCCACCAUUAUGAUCCUCCAUAUAACUACAAGUCACCUCCACCGCCUUCACCUGUUUACAAGUACAACUCCCCACCUCCACCAGUCCAUUAUUAUUCACCUCCAUAUUACUACAAAUCACCCCCUCCUCCUGUGAAAUCGCCACCACCUCCUUACUACUAUAAAUCACCUCCUCCUCCCUCACCGGUUUACAAAUACAACUCACCAC
rnacentral:lncRNA from 1 species